UGGGGCCUACGGGAGGCAGCAGUGGGGAAUAUUGCACAAUGGGGGAAACCCUGAUGCAGCGACGCCGCGUGGGCGACGAAGCGCUCCGGCGCGUAAAGCCCUGUCAGCAGGGAAGAAAAAAGACAGUACCUGACCAAGAAGCCCCGGCUAACUACGUGCCAGCAGCCGCGGUAAUACGUAGGGGGCAAGCGUUAUCCGGAUUCACUGGGCGUCCAGGGAGCGCAGGCGGCACGGCAAGUCUUGUGUGACAGCCCGGGGCCCAACCCCGGGACUGCAUUGGACACUGCCGGGCU
rnacentral:rRNA from 1 species